AUCUGGCGUGCCCCUAUACCCCCAAAAAUUAAGAUCUUCUUGUGGCAAGCCUUUAGGGGUCGACUUCCUGCUGCUGACCAGAUUCAUAAGCAUAAUGGGCCUAGCUCGGUGGCUUGUGUGUUACGCGACGCUGUGGAGGAUACUAAUCAUAUCUUUUUCAGCUGUGUCCUGGCCAAGAUGGUUUGGUGUUGUAUUCGUUCUUGGCUGGGUGUCACUUGGCACCCCACCUCCUUCUCGAACCUCGGAACCUUGGCAUCUGGCCUUUCUGGGAUUACCAAACACAUGUUCUGGAUUGGUUUUGCCGCGAUUUGCUGGUCAUCAUGGACGACUAGGAACAACUUUAUCAUUGAGCAUAUCUUCCCUGCUAGCAUGUUGAUUGCUUAUUUAAAGCUUGUCUGUUUCUGCAGUGGUGGAGAUUAUUGA
rnacentral:rRNA from 1 species